rnacentral:rRNA from 1 species
CAUACCACCCAGAACUCACCCAAUCUUAUCUGAUCUCAAAAGCUAAGCAGGGUCAGGCUUGUUUAGUACUUGGAUGGAAAAUAGGAAAAAAAAAA